CCUACGGGAGGCAGCAGUGAGGAAUAUUGGUCAAUGGGCGAGAGUCUGAACCAGCCAAGUCGCGUGAAGGAUGACGGUCCUAUGGGUUGUAAACCUCUUUUAUAGGGGAGUAAAAUACGCCACGCGUGGGAUUCCGUAUGUACCCUAUGAAUAAGGAUCGGCUAACUCCGUGCCAGCAGCCGCGGUAAUACGGAGGAUCCGAGCGUUAUCCGGAUUUAUUGGGGUUAAAGGGUGCGGAGGUGGAUAGUUAAGUCAGGCGGGAAAGUUUGCGGCUCAACCGUAAGAUUGCAGUUGAAACUGGUAGUCUGGAGUGCAGGAGAGGUAGGCGGAAUGCGUGGUGUAGCGGUGAAAUGCUUAGAUAUCACGAAGAACUCCGAUUGCGAAGGCAGCUCACUGGACUGCAACUGACGCUGAGGCUCGAAAGUGUGGGUAUCAAACAGGAUUAGAUACCCCGGUAGUC
rnacentral:rRNA from 1 species